rnacentral:rRNA from 1 species
GACGAACGCUGGCGGCGUGCUUAACACAUGCAAGUCGAACGGAAAGGCCUCUUUCGGGGGGUACUCGAGUGGCGAACGGGUGAGUAACACGUGAGUAACCUGCCCUUGACUUUGGGAUAACUUCAGGAAACUGGGGCUAAUACCGGAUAGGAGCUCCUGCUGCAUGGUGGGGGUUGGAAAGUUUCGGCGGUUGGGGAUGGACUCGCGGAUUAUCAGCUUGUUGGUGGGGUAGUGGCUUACCAAGGCUUUGACGGGUAGCCGGCCUGAGAGGGUGACCGGCCACAUUGGGACUGAGAUACGGCCCAGACUCCUACGGGAGGCAGCAGUGGGGAAUAUUGCACAAUGGGUGGAAGCCUGAUGCAGCAACGCCGUGUGCGGGAUGACGGCCUUCGGGUUGUAAACCGCUUUCGCUCAUGACGAAGCUUUGUGUGACGGUAGUGGGUAAAGAAGCACCGGCUAACUACGUG